UACGGGGGGGGCAAGCGUUGUUCGGAAUUACUGGGCGUAAAGGGCUCGUAGGCGGCCAACUAAGUCCGACGUGAAAUCCCCAGGCUUAACCUGGGAACUGCGUCUGAUACUGGGAGGCUUGAGUGCGGGAGAGGGAUGUGGAAUUCCAGGUGUAGCGGUGAAAUGCGUAGAUAUCGUGAGGAACACCAGAGGCGAAGGCGGCUACCUGGACAAUUGCUGACGCUCAGGCACGAAAGCGUGGGGAGCAAAAGGG
rnacentral:rRNA from 1 species